UUAAUAACACCAUGUACAAAACUCAAGGUGUAAUGUUGAAUUAUGUUCUAUAGAGAUUUAUUGUGAAUAGUCAUGCUAAUACACCCCAUGAUAUGGCAUUGUUAUUAUUUUUAGCAAAUCUGCACUGAUAUUUGCUUAGCUAGUUAACAUCACAGUUUCCUUUAUUGGAGCCUUGGAGUAGUCUAUGCACAUUGGACACCUGCACAAUUUGCCAACAAUAUGAGCCUCCAAAUUGCAUUCCUUGUUCUCAGGGCACAUAAGGAUUCGGUGGCAAUCUUCCUGACAACCACCAAACUUCUUUAGGUAUUUAAACGUACACCUUCGAUUUGUAUUCGCAUCUGCAAAAUAUUACCAAUAAGAAGCAAUCCAAAUCAUGAAAAGAACAGUUUUGUUGAUUGGGUUGAUGCAACACUCUUGGAGGAACCGAUUAAACGUACUUGAUGCUAGCACGAGAAAGGCGAGUGUCAGGAGUAGUGUCAAAGCUGCAAUCUUCAUCCUAACUUGUAUGUGGCGUUGGUAGGAAAGUGACUGCUUGUGAGCCUUGAGGAAGAGAAAAUGAUAUGGCAACCAUUUUUAUAGUAGGUUUGAUAUUAAUGCUCAUUAUUAUAAUACAAAAAUAGCAUGAAAAGAAAGAUUGGAUAAGUUAUGUCAUAUUAAAAGCAAUUAAGUGGACUUCAGGAUAAGAUAUGUACAGACGCUUUGUAGCAGAGAAAAGAGACGAAAUUAAGAGAUUGCACAUUUGAGCAGACGUUUUCACAUGAAAAAGAUAGAUAAAAGAAAAACAUCUAUCUAUACAGUUACUAAACUCCCUUGAAAUAAGGUCUCCUAGUGAAUCCAGGGUGUGAAAAGUGCAUGUGCCCUAGGUGACAGUGGGUGAGGCGUGGUGGUGGGAAGCUCGGUCCCUUGCGUGUCCAGUUUUCUUGUGUACAUGCGAAGUUCGCUUGCUGGUCCCUUGCAUGUUGCUUCAUCUAGCAAAGAAAGAAAAAGGCCGUUACCACACCCAGCUAAUAAAAGAAUCUCAAAGAGCAAAACUGAUUGAACAAAGAAAAUGUUAGGAAUAAAUGAGGAUGUGUCUAUUAUAUUGAUAACUAAAAUGUAUUAAUUAACGAAUCAUCAUUCUUGUGACCAAUCCAAAGUAGUGAUGUCCCUUUUUCUUUUAACAUUUAUAACUGCCAUUUCUUGGAGGCAGCUUCUCCCUAAGUAUAGAUACCUUUUCUAUCAAUGGAAUUAGAGAGGGUAGCUCUCUCUCUCCCUCCCCUCGCUAUUUUACUUGUGUCUAUUAUAUUGAUAACUAAAAUGUAUUAAUUAACGAAUCAUCAUUCUUGUGACCAAUCCAAAGUAGUGAUGUCCCUUUUUCUUUUAACAUUUAUAACUGCCAUUUCUUGGAGGCAGCUUCUCCCUAAGUAUAGAUACCUUUUCUAUCAAUGGAAUUAGGCAUUUUUCAGAUAUAUGUUCUUUUACUUUUAUUCAAAUUUACCUCUGUGGUCAAACUUCCCGAAAGGUCACCCAUCCUCACACUACUCCAGCGCAAGCACACUUAACUUUGGAGUUCUAUACAACCCCAGCACCAGCUCACUUCACAGGCACUUGCUGAUAUAUCCAGCAUAUCAAUCCUAUUAAACCUUUUUGACGUUUAGGACUUUCUUCAUGUUCAUGAGUGUGAUGAAAUUUUGAAAAAUUAUUUCAAACUUCCGUUCAUAUUACGUAUCAUAUUUCAAACGGUGCACCACUAGUAAGUUUGAAAUUUUUUGAAUUUUUUUGCCUCUAGAUCUUGAAAGCCCCGUAACUUUUUUCUGUUAGGUUUUUGAGGAUUUUGAAAAUGUUUAACGGGGUUCCCCCCGUUAAGAUCGGAUGUAUUUUUAACGGGGUUCCCCCCGUUAAGAUCGGAUGUAUUUUUAACGGGGUUCCCCCCGUUAAGAUCGGAUUGGUAAUAUAUUCAAAAAGGAAGGUGGUAUUUUUAACACCUCAUAUAUAGAUCACUUAAUAACACCAUGUACAAAACACAAGGUGUAACGAUGAAUUAUGUUCUAUAAAGAUUUAUUGUGAAUAGUCAUGCUAAUACACCCCAUGAUAUGGCAUUGUUAUUAUUUUUAGCAAAUCUGCACUGAUAUUUGCUUAGCUAGUUAACAUCACAGUUUCCUUUAUUGGAGCCUUGGAGUAGUCUAUGCACAUUGUACACCUGCACAAUUUGCCAACAAUAUGAGCCUCCAAAUUGCAUUCCUUGUUCUCAGGGCACAUAAGGAUUCAGUGGCAAUCUUCCUGACAACCACCAAACUUCUUCAGGUAUUUAAACGUACACCUUCAGUUUGUAUUCGCAUCUGCAAAAUAUUACCAACAAGAAGAAAUCCAAAUAAAGAAAAGAACAAUUUUGUUGAUUGGGUUGAUGCAACUCUCUUGGAGGAACCGAUUAAACGUACUUGAUGUGAGCACGGGAAAGGCGAGUGUCAGGAGUAGCGUCAAAGCUGCAAUCUUCAUCCUAACUUGUAUGUGGUGUUGGUAGGAAAGUGACUGCUUGUGAGCCUUGAGGAAGAGAAAAUGAUAUGGCAACCAUUUUGAUAGUAGGUUUGAUAUUAAUGCUCAUUAUUGUAAUACAAAAUAGCAUGAAAAGAAAGAUUGGAUAAGUUAUGUCGUAUUAAAAGCAAUUAAGUGGACUUCAGGAUAACAUAUGUACAGACGCUUUGUAGCAGAGCAAGGAAACGAAAUUAAGAGAUUGCACAUUUGAGCAGACGUUUUCACAUGAAAAAGAUAGAUAAAAGAAAAACAUCUAUCUAUACAGUUACUAAGGUCCCUUGAAAUAAGGUCUCCUAGUGAAUCCAGCGUUUGAAAAGUGCAUGGGCCUUGGGUGACAGUGGGUGAGGCAUGUUGGUUGGAAUCUCGGUCCCUUGUGUGUCCAGUUUUCUUGUGUACAUGCGCAGUUCGCCUGCUGGACCCUUGCAUGUUGGUUCAUCUAGCAAAGAAAGAAAAAGACCGUUACCACACCUAGCUAAUAAAAGAAUCUCAAUGAGCAAAACUGAUUGAACAAAGAAAAUGUUAGGAAUAAAUUAGGAUGUGUCUAUUAUAUUGAUAACUAAAAUGUAUUAAUUAACGAAUCAUCAUUCUUGUGACCAAUCCAAAGUAGUGAUGUCCCUUUUUCUUUUAACAUUUAUAACUGCCAUCUCUUGGAGGCAGCUUCUCCCUAUGUAUAGAUACCUUUUCUAUCAAUGGAAUUAGAGAGGGUAGCACUCUCUCCGUCCCCUCACUAUUUUACUUGCAUUUUUCAGAUAUAUGUUGUUUUACUUUUAUUCAAAUUUACCUCUGUGGUCAAACUUCCCGAAAGGUCACCCAUCCUCACAAUAUUCCAGCCCAAGCACACUUAACUUCAGAGUUCUAUCCAACCCCAGCACCAGCUCACUUCAGAGGCACUUGUUGAUAUAUCUAGCAUAUCAAUCCUAUUAAACCUUGUUGAUGUUUAGCACUUUGUCCAUGUUCAUGAGUGUGAUGAAAUUUUGAAAAAUUAUUUCAAACUUACGUUCAUAUUACGUAUCAUAUUUUGAAAAAAAUUCUCGAAAAAAAUUCGAAACUAAUUUUUUUGCUGUUACUAGUGGCGCACCUAGCAAACGGUGCGCCACUAGUAAGUUUGAAAAUUUUUGAAUUUUUUUGCCUCUAGAUCUUGAAAGCAUUGUAACUUUUUUCUGUUAGGUUUUUGAGGAUUUUGAAAAUGUUUAACGGAGUUCCCCCUGUUAAGAUCUGAUGUAUUUUUAACGGGGUUCCCCCCGUUAAGAUCGGAUGUAUUUUUAACGGGGUUCCCCCCGUUAAGAUCGGAUUGGUAAUAUAUUCAAAAAGCAAGGUGGUAUUUUUAACGCCUCAUAUAUGGAUCACUUAAUAACACCGUGUAUAAAACUCAAGGUGUAAUGUUGAAUUAUGUUCUAUAGAGAUUUAUUGUGAAUAGUCAUGCUAAUACACCCCAUGAUAUGGCAUUGUUAUUAUUUUGAGCAAACCUGCACUGAUAUUUUCUAGCUAGUUAACAUCAGAGUUUCCUUUAUUGGAGCCUUGGAGUAGUCUAUGCACAUUGUACACCUGCACAAUUUGCCAACAAUAUGAGCCUCCAAAUUGCAUUCCUUGUUCUCAGGGCACAUAAGGAUUCGGUGGCAAUCUUCCUGACAACCACCAAACUUCUUCAGGUAUUUAAACGUACACCUUCGGUUUGUAUUCGCAU
rnacentral:lncRNA from 1 species